rnacentral:rRNA from 1 species
UACGUAGGGGGCGAGCGUUGUCCGGAUUUAUUGGGCGUAAAGAGCUCGUAGGCGGCUCAUUGCGUCAACCGUGAAAACUUGUGGCUCAACUACAAGCUUGCGGUUGAUACGGGUGGGCUGGAGUUCGGUAGGGGAGACUGGAAUUCCUGGUGUAGCGGUGAAAUGCGCAGAUAUCAGGAGGAACACUGGUGGCGAAGGCGGGUCUCUGGGCCGAUACUGACGCUGAGGAGCGAAAGCGUGGGGAGCGAACAGG